rnacentral:rRNA from 1 species
GACAUAGGUGGCAAACGUUAUCCGGAUUUAUUGGGCGUAAAGGAUGCGUAGAUGGUAGAACAAGUUAUUGGUAGAAGUUGAGCUCAACUCAGCAGAAGCUGGUAAUACUAUUCUACUCGAGGACAGGAGAGGUUGGCGGAAUUCUAUGUGUAGGGGUGAAAUCCAUUGAUCUAUAGGAGACCACCAAAAAAAGGCGAAGGCAGCUAACUAUUCUGUUCCUGACAUUGAGGCAUGAAAGCGUGGGGAGCAAACCGG